rnacentral:rRNA from 1 species
AUUGAACGCUGGCGGCAGGCCUAACACAUGCAAGUCGAACGAGCGGCGGACGGGUGAGUAAUGUAUGGGAACUGCCUGAUAGAGGGGGAUAACUACUGGAAACGGUGGCUAAUACCGCAUACUAUCGGAUAACCCAUAUGGGGUUAGCUAGUAGGUGGGGUAAAGGCUCACCCAGGCGACGAUCUCUAGCUGGUCUGCGAGGAUGAUCAGCCACACGGUGACUUAGAAACGGCCCAGAGUCCUACGGAGGCAGUAGUGGGGAAUAUUGCACAAUGGGCGCAAGCCUGAUGCAGCCAUGCCGCGUGUAUGAAGAAGGCCUUAGGGUUGUAAAGUACUUUCCGCGGAGAGGCGUUACCCGCAGAAGAAGCACCGGCUAACUCCGUGCCAGCAGCCGCGGUAAUUC